GGAUUCCCCUAGUAACUGCGAGUGAAGCGGGACAAGCUCAAAUUUAAAAUCUGUCAGUCUUUGGCUGUCCGAGUUGUAAUCUAGAGAAGUGUAAUCCGCGCUGGACCGUGUGCAAGUCUCCUGGAAUGGAGCGUCAUAGAGGGUGAGAAUCCCGUCUUUGACACGGACUGCCAGGGCUUUGUGAUGCGCUCUCAAAGAGUCGAGUUGUUUGGGAAUGCAGCUCAAAAUGGGUGGUAAAUUCCAUCUAAAGCUAAAUAUUGGCGAGAGACCGAUAGCGAACAAGUACCGUGAGGGAAAGAUGAAAAGAACUUUGGAAAGAGAGUUAAACAGUACGUGAAAUUGCUGAAAGGGAAACGCUUGAAGUCAGUCGCGUUAUCCAGGGAUCAACCUUGCUUAUGCUUGGUGUACUUUCUGGUUAAUGGGUCAGCAUCAAUUUUGACUAUUGGAAAAAGAUCAGGGGAAUGUGGCAUCUUCGGAUGUGUUAUAGCCUUUGGUUGCAUACAAUGGUUGGGAUUGAGGAACUCAGCACGCCGCAAGGCCGGGUUUUUUUUAACCACGUACGUGCUCAGGAUGCUGGCAUAAUGGCUUUAAUCGACCCGUCUUGAAACACGGACCAAGGAGUCUAACAUGCCUGCGAGUGUUUGGGUGGAAAACCCGAGUGCGUAAUGAAAGUGAAAGUUAAGAUCCCUGUCGUGGGGAGCAUUGACGCCCGGAUCAGACCUUUUUGUGACGGUUCCGCGGUAGAGCAUGUAUGUUGGGACCCGAAAGAUGGUGAACUAUGCCUGAAUAGGGUGAAGCCAGAGGAAACUCUGGUGGAGGCUCGUAGCGAUUCUGACGUGCAAAUCGAUCGUCAAAUUUGGGUAUAGGGGCGAAAGACUAAUCGA
rnacentral:rRNA from 1 species